UACGUAGGGGGCGAGCGUUGUCCGGAUUUAUUGGGCGUAAAGCGCGUGUAGGCGGCCCGGUAAGUCCGCUGUGAAAGUCGGGGGCUCAACCCUCGGAUGCCGGUGGAUACUGUCGGGCUUGAGUACGGAAGAGGCGAGUGGAAUUCCUGGUGUAGCGGUGAAAUGCGCAGAUAUCAGGAGGAACACCAAUUGCGAAGGCAGCUCGCUGGGACGUGACUGACGCUGAGACGCGAAAGCGUGGGGAGCAAACAGG
rnacentral:rRNA from 1 species